AUUUAAUGAGGGUUUUUUUGUUUGUUUGUUUGUUUUGUUUUUUGUUUUGGUAUCUUCCAGAAGGCAGAAAUGUGAAAGACGUGGCCACAUCUCUCUCAUCAGGCCAUGGAAAAUUAGUCUUCUCUUAUUAAACAGGAAAGUUUAGCAUUUAAUAGUUAAUGAAGGCAAGGGAAUCUCAACAGAUAAGAGCCGAGUCUGCACAGGCUGCGUUUGGACAAUUCCAAAUCCUCUUAUCUCUUCUCAGAAAGGCUGCUGUUUGCAAGAUAUUGUUUUAAGCAGAGGGAAGACAGGCGCAGACGCAUACAAAGGGAGAGCCACUAUCUUUUCAAAUGGAUGCAGAAUACAUGAAGAGGUGCUGCCUGGCAGUUUUAUGGCAUGCUGCAACAACAUAUUGUAUUUUCCCCUCUGGAUUCAAUACACUGAUCCUCUGGUAUUUAAACUUUAAAAUAUGUACAGCAUUGUGGACAUAUGGAAGAAGACAGAAGCUGGGGUGGAUGACGCUGCGGACCUGGAGGCGAGACAAUGAUGUGUAGGAUAGAAAUGUCUAAUCUUCAAUUCUAGGUUUUUGGUGAAGAGACAAAGAAAAUCUUUUCCUUACCUUUAACAUCUCUUCAAUCCUACCGUAAAGUCUGCUACCCACUCAGACUUUUACAUAGAGAAAUCAAGAAAGAAGCUGAAAGUAGGCCCAGCAUUUGGGUUUAUGUGGAACAGGAGACACUGAUUCAUCAGGGCCAGGAAGCUGGACCCAGGAGUAUCCCUGAGACUAUAAAUCCCAGAAGAAGUUACAGGAAUCUUAAAAAAAAGCAAUAGAUUUCCUCUGGGUGGUGGUAUAGGAAUUAGGGCCGAUUUUAUCAAGAUCUUGAUGGCAGCAUGACCCCAGUGGCAGUUGGUUAUGAGUCUAUGGCCCUGAUGAGGUUUGAAGCCUGGCUCAUCUACAUGCCAGCUAGUUAUUCUAGACUGCAAAACUUGGUGUCUUCUUUGGUAAAAUUGGAGUAGUAUCUUUAUAAUUCGGGAUCACCAGUUGAUACUUAAAAU
rnacentral:lncRNA from 1 species